GUUGAUGUCAAAAUUUGUAAGAAUUAAUCUCCAGUCAACUUUAGGAAAAAUGGCAAUCUCCCCUUAUUAUGAAAAAUACUACAAUUGUAUAUCGAGAAGGCAUAAUUAUGUGGUGCAUUUGUAUGAAAGUUCACCCUCUUUCAAGAAAACCAUUUCUCUACUAUUUAUACAUGACCAUAGUCGAAAUUACAUCAAAUCAAUCAAAUCAGCUACAAGAUCGAACUGGGAAGUUUAGUUGCAGAAUUCUUUUGUGAUUGGUUGACGAAGUCGAUUGUCAUGUGCCAAUAUUUUCUUAGGUAAUGAUGGCCUGCAAAAGGUUGGAGAUCCGGGACUUUGAAUUGGUGGUUUUAGGUGUUGAUGACGUCAUCCUUUACAAGUGUACAUGAUUGAGAAGAUGAUAUGACAAGAAUAAUCAUUAUAUCCCUUAAAAUUAUGGCGGUAAUAUACCAAUUUGAACUGUGGCCGAGCUCACAUCAGCCUAAAGUGGGGCCUGCGAAUGACUCUUAUGAGACCGGAAGUCGGUGGUCAACAUUCAUAAGUACUUCAAAAGAAAUGUACAACUGAUAAAGCUGCUGCCAUGCAAUUUCACCAUUGCUAAAAACCAACUAAAUUAAUGAUCAUGGUACCCUAUAAUCCUUUUACCAGAAUUGUAAAAGGCUGUGGCAAGGUUACAUCAAAAUGUGCAUUUCUUUACUCUGAGGAGGAGGAGGAGUCAUCCUCAAAUUCUUCAAUCUUUUGCCCGAAACCUCUGGGUCCAGCUUUAAUUUUACCAUUUUUGCCGCUCUUCUUUUUCCUAACAUAAAAAUAAAAUUUACCCCAAUUGUAAGAAUGGCUAAAUCGAUGAAAGCAAUGAAAAGAAGAGCCUAUAUUACUGUAGAAACACCAUCAUCACUUGAGGAGACCACUUCCUGCAAAUUCUCUUCUGGGGUGACUUCUGAUAGUAAAUAAUUUACAUUUACAGCAGAAAAUCUCCAAUUUCUUAUGGGUUUUAGAUAUACGGCACUCGCCGAAUUCCGAUAAUUCUAAGUUCUUAUUGAGAUUUGAGGGAAUGACGGAGAAAGUGAAUAGUGGGUAUUUUGAUAAAAUGACUAGGUUUACUCUAAAGAACCAAGGAGAGAGCUGGAGGAGCAUCACAUUCUUUCAAUGUUUACAUUUGAAUUCAUAAUUUUUUCCUAUUUUUUAUCAAUCCACUUUUCAAUAAAUAAAU
rnacentral:lncRNA from 1 species